AGAAAGGGCGUAUGGCGGAUGCCUAGGCUCACGGAGGCGAUGAAGGACGUGAUAAGCUGCGAUAAGCUUCGGGUAGGUGCAAAUAACCCUUGAUCCGGAGAUUUCCGAAUGGGACAACCUAGCCGUCUGAAGGACGGUUACUCUUACCAAGUAAGAGAGCUAACGCAGGGAACUGAAACAUCUUAGUACCUGCAGGAAGAGAAAAUAAAUGAAUGAUUCCCCCAGUAGUGGCGAGCGAACGGGGAACAGCCCAAACCGUUGACGUCGCAAGGCGCCAGCGGGGUUGUAGGACCGCGACAUUGUAUGCAAAUCGUGAACAGAACACUUUGGAAAAUGUGACCAUAGACGGUGAUAGUCCAGUAUGUGAAGCGAAAUGCAGCAUAGCGGUAUCCUGAGUAACGCGGGACACGAGGAAUCCUGCGCGAAUCUGCCGGGACCAUCCGGUAAGGCUAAAUACUCCCGUGAGACCGAUAGCGAACGAGUACUGUGAAGGAAAGGUGAAAAGAACCCCGAGCAGGGGAGUGAAAUAGUUCCUGAAACCAUACGCCUACAAGCGGUCGGAGCAUCUUACGAUGUGACGGCGUGCCUUUUGCAUAAUGAUCCUACGAGUUACCGUCACUGGCGAGGUUGAGUGUCACGAGACACGUAGCCGCAGUGAAAGCGAGCCUGAACAGGGCGCACAGUCAGUGGGGGUAGACGCGAAACCAAGUGAUCUACACUUGGCCAGGAUGAAGUCCCGGUAACACGGGAUGGAGGUCCGCACCAAUAAGCGUUGAAAAGCUUCUGGAUGAGCCGAGUGUAGGAGUGAAAGGCCAAUCAAACUUGGAGAUAGCUCGUACUCCCCGAAAGGCAUUUAGGUGCCGCGUCGGAUGGUCACCGUGAGAGGUAGAGCGACCGAUAGGACAAGAGGGCUUCACCGCCUAUCGAGUCCUGACGAACUCCGAAUGCUCACGGUCUGCAGUCCGGCAGUAAGGGGGCGGGUGCUAAGGUCCGUCCCCGAGAGGAGAAGAAUCCAGACCGCCGUCUAAGGUCCCGGAGUUCUGCCUGAGUUAGUCUAACGAAGUCUGGUCCCUAUGACAGCUAGGAUGUUGGCUUGGAAGCAGCCAUUCAUUCAAAGAGUGCGUAACAGCUCACUAGUCGAGGGUCCGGGCAUGGAUAAUAAUCGGGUAUAAGGCAGACACCGAAGGCGCGGGAUAGCAUUUAAGAAAGUAUCGGUAGGGGAGCAUACUCACAGCGUUGAAUGGUGUACGUAAGUUAUCCUGGAGCGGUGAGUAAAGCAAAUGUAGGAAUAAGUAACGAUAAGGAGGGUUAGAUUCCCUCCCGCUGUAAGACCAAGGUUUCCCGGGCAAUGCCAAUCAGCCCGGGGUCAGUCGGGUCCUAAGUCUAAGCCGAACGGCGAUGGCGAUGGCAGAGACGGUUAAUAUUCCGUCACUGCCGCAUGGGGCGACGUGGAGACGGAGCAGUGAAACCACCGCGGGGCGACGGAAGUCCCCGUUGAAGAGUGUAGGUGUUGAGGAUGGCAGGCAAAUCCACCGUCCGAGCUGAACUUGAUAGUAUGGAGUCUUCUUCGGAAGAAUCCAAUAGUGUGGGUAAUCAUACUCCCGAGAAAAUCCGCUAAGCUUAACCCAUGCGGCACCCGUACCGCAAACGGACACACGUGGUCGGGUAGAACAUACUAAGGCGUUGAGAGAUUCAUGGUUAAGGAACUAGGCAAAUUGACCCUGUAACUUCGGGAUAAAGGGUCCUCGUGAUGAGCGAGGCGCAGAGAAUAGGUCCAGGCAACUGUUUAACAAAAACACAGGGCUGUGCAAACUCGAAAGAUGACGUAUACAGCCUGACACCUGCCCGGUGCCGGAAGGUUAAGAGGAGAUGUCACUCGCAAGAGGAAGCAUUGAAUUGAAGCCCCGGUAAACGGCGGCCGUAACAAUAACGGUCCUAAGGUAG
rnacentral:rRNA from 1 species